GAUCAUGGCUCAGGACGAACGCUGGCGGCGCGCCUAACACAUGCAAGUCGAACGGGAGAUGAGGAGCUUGCUCUUCAAAUCGAGUGGCGAACGGGUGAGUAACGCGUGAGGAACCUGCCUCAAAGAGGGGGACAACAGUUGGAAACGACUGCUAAUACCGCAUAAGCCCACGGCUCGGCAUCGAGCAGGGGGAAAAGGAGCAAUCCGCUUUGAGAUGGCCUCGCGUCCGAUUAG
rnacentral:rRNA from 1 species